rnacentral:rRNA from 1 species
UACAGAGGUCUCAAGCGUUGUUUCGGAUUUCAUUGGGCGUAAAGGGUGCGUAGGCGGCGCGGUAAGUCGGGUGUGAAAUCUUGGAGCUUAACUCCGAAACUGCAUUCGAUACUGCCGUGCUUGAGGACUGGAGAGGAGACUGGAAUUUACGGUGUAGCGGUGAAAUGCGUAGAUAUCGUAAGGAAGACCAGUGGCGAAGGCGGGUCUCUGGACAGUUCCUGACGCUGAGGCACGAAGGCCAGGGGAGCAAACGGG